rnacentral:lncRNA from 1 species
AUUUCAGCCAUAUUUUCUAACAGGGCUUGGCAAGUUCCUCCAGCACUUCUGGUAUAGGUGCACGUGUAACUUGUACAUACUCUCGGAGCAGAGCUUCAUCAUUUGAAAGAAGACUUGCAAGCGGUACUAUUUACUGAAAUGGAUUUAUUUCUUGCCUCUGCAGUUGGUUUCUGGCAGCUGCCCCUUUAUGAAGUUGUGCCUUCUGGGUCAGAGAUGAAAGGAGCUGGCUGUAACCCUGUGCAACUGAAACCCUUUUUCCGAAGGUCUAUAAACACUGGCCUUCAACCAAACCUUACAGCAAGAAUGUUUCUGUACUGGAUGAAGAGGGCAGUGAGUCAGUCCCUUUGUCUACUUUUGGAAGUAUGAUUGGAAUAUGAGAGUAAGUUGUUCCUGUUGACGUCUGAAUGCAGAUAGGACGGGAAUGUGGGAGGUCUGAUGGUGAGCGGGACCCCACCUGUG